GGUUCUCAGGCACAACACAUUACAUAAACAGAAAAUGUUACCGUAUUCUCCCUGUGGCCAACUCUUGGUUUGCAGAAAAGGUGAAGGAUAAAACAUACUUGCAGAUCUUAAGUCUCAAAAAAGUGUGUGACAAAAAGAGGAAAGAGGGACCAUUAUUUGAAAAUUAGAUUAUGCUCUAUUGUCUCCAAAGGUUGUAGGCCACACUCAGAAAAAAGAGACCAAGGAGAGAUGCUCUAGGGUAAAACACAGGCCUCUCUGUUUCAGCUAUUUUCUCCAAUGUCCAGUAACAACACAACCCUAGUGUGUGAAUUUGUUUUAGUUCUUUGAGCUGCUGCUUCUGCCAAGAAACUCCUUGCGGCCUCUUUGUCCUGCUUGUUGUUCCAAUGGCCAUUUCCACAUAAAGAAUUGAGAGCCCAUCCCUGGAUGUUUAUUAUUGUCAAACUCUUUCAUGUCCUUCUGAGCUGUGAUGCAUGUGUGCAGGACAGACACAGGAGAGAUCGGAAGGUGUAAAAGUGAGAGUGGCGCUGGAAUACACCAAGAACAGGUCAGAUCAAUGCCCUCAACCACCCAGGAACUCAUAAGGAACUGACGUGCAUGGCACCAGUAAAAAUGCCCCAACAUUGAAUGGCAGGGGACUUAGUCUCCAUGUCUUGGUGGCAAUGAUUAGAGGAGACAACAUCUAGAAGAUGACCCAAAUCAAUGAGAGUGGAAGUCACAGGAGAGUGUCAGUGUUGAUCGUGCAGCUAGAAAGUAGGGUGACAAUGAUACCCCGCAAAUGAAGAUGACUUCUGACUGCCUCUCUUAAACCUUUAUGGACUGUGAAAUGAGAAGCAAGUGAUCUUCCUGGUGAGGACGGUGCUUUUGAUAUACUAGGAAUGUAACUGUUUCUUUAAUUCAUCAUCA
ensembl:lncRNA